CCAUAUAAGGACAUUGUAAUCUGUUAAUGUUUAAAUGCGUAUUAUAAGAACUUUUACAAUAGUUUAUUCAUUAUUUAAUUUAUUUUAAAUAUGAUUAAAUGUGAGAGUUUCGAAUAUGCCAUAGACAGAUUUUAUAUAUAUUGUACUUAAAUCUUUUCUGAUUUUAUAAUAAUAUAAUUAUC
rnacentral:rRNA from 1 species